rnacentral:rRNA from 1 species
GAAAGCAUCUAAGCACGAAACUUGCCAAGAGAUGAGUCAUCCCUGACUUUAAGUCAGUAAGGGUUGUUGUAGACUACGACGUAGAUAGGUUGGGUGUGUAAGUGUAGUGAUACAUUGAGCUAACCAAUACUAAUUGCCCGAGAGGCUUAACCAU